ACUCAAAUGAAUUGACGGGGGCCCGCACAAGCGGUGGAGUAUGUGGUUUAAUUCGACGCAACGCGAAGAACCUUACCAGGGCUUGACAUUGAGUGAAAGACUUAGAGAUAAGUCCCUCCCUUCGGGGACACAAAAACAGGUGGUGCAUGGCUGUCGUCAGCUCGUGUCGUGAGAUGUUGGGUUAAGUCCCGCAACGAGCGCAACCCUUAUCCUUUGUUGCCAGCACGUAAUGGUGGGAACUCAAGGGAGACUGCCGCAGACAAUGCGGAGGAAGGCGGGGAUGACGUCAAGUCAUCAUGCCCCUUAUGUCCUGGGCUACACACGUACUACAAUGGGCUUAAACAAAGCGAAGCAAAACCGCGAGGUUGAGCAAAACGCAUAAACAAGCUCUCAGUUCGGAUCGGAGGCUGCAACUCGCCUCCGUGAAGUCGGAAUCGCUAGUAAUCGCAGGUCAGCAUACUGCGGUGAAUACGUUCCCGGGCCUUGCACACACCGCCCGU
rnacentral:rRNA from 1 species